AUGUUGUCAAGAUGGCAUCAGGAUUCCUGAACACACCAUCAUCAGGGAACUUCACAAGUUCCCAUUGAUGAAACAUCAGGUACGUCUCACCUAGGGGCAGACGACAGACAGAGUAACAGAACAUUGGAGGAACAGCAAUGGAGACCAGUGCAGAUGACAUAGCCCAGGGCCUCUCCCGUUCUGACAGGUGAAUACCUCUUGGUGUGAGUUACAGGCAUCACGGGCAUGGGCCUCAAAGAGAAGGAAGUCGUGCUCGGAAAUCUGAGUAAAAACUAUCUCCAAUUUUUACAG